rnacentral:rRNA from 1 species
UGAGGAAUAUUGGUCAAUGGGCGGGAGCCUGAACCAGCCAAGCCGCGUGAGGGAAGAAGGCCCUAUGGGUCGUAAACCUCUUUUGUCAGGGAACAAAAGCGAGUAUGUAUACUAGUCUGAGUGUACCUGAAGAAAAAGCAUCGGCUAACUCCGUGCCAGCAGCCGCGGUAAUACGGAGGAUGCGAACGUUAUCCGGAUUUAUUGGGUUUAAAGGGUGCGUAGGCGGCGAUGCAAGUCAGCGGUAAAAGCCCGGGGCUCAACCCCGGCGAGCCGUUGAAACUGCAGUGCUAGAGAAGGCGAGAGGUACGCGGAAUGCGCAGUGUAGCGGUGAAAUGCUUAGAUAUUGCGCAGAACUCCGAUUGCGAAGGCAGCGUACUGGCGCCUGACUGACGCUGAGGCACGAAAGCGUGGGGAUCGAACAGGAUUAGAUACCC